GCCAGCAUUUAAGGUGGGGACUCAGAUGAGACUGCCGGUGACAAACCGAGGAAGGUGGGGACGACGUCAAGUCAUCAUGGCCCUUAUGUCCUGGGCUACACACGUGCUACAAUGGCCGGUACAGAGUGAAGCGAAACCGCGAGGUGAAGCAAAACGCAGAAAGCCGGUCUCAGUACGGAUUGGAGUCUGAAACUCGACUUCAUGAAGUUGGAAUCGCUAGUAAUCGCGCAUCAGCAUGGCGCGGUGAAUACGUUCCCGGGCCUU
rnacentral:rRNA from 1 species